UCCAACUCAAAACAGAAACUAAACUGGUGAAAUAUGCAGAGAUUGAAGCCAAAAUACAAAACCCAUUUCUUAUGAUGCUACAAAAAAGCUAAACAUUUGAAGCCAUAAACUAAAAACUCAAAAGAGUAGAGGGGCAGGAGAAGUAAACAGGGACGAAAUCUGGAACCCUAGCUGAUUCUCAGGAAAUUUAAGAACCCAGAAACUGAAUAAUGAAUGUAG